rnacentral:lncRNA from 1 species
ACUUAAAACUUGCCAAGGCCCUCUGCUUUCAGGACGUCCAAAUCUUCGUCCAGUGUUGGGUUCUCCACCAAGUCGCUGUUCUCUAGCUGUUUUAGCUCCCAUUGCUCAUUAUCUUGUGAAAGUCUAAGCCACCUCUGGGCCCAUCCUCCGCUCUCCCUGACCUCAUGCUAUUCACUCUGUAAUGUUCUAGCUCACACUAUUUAUCCUUUCCCGGAAAUUUCACUGGUGGAUAUCAGCCGCUUGUAUUGCUUAACAGGCCAGGCCAACCCCCUCUAACUCCAUUUGAUUGAAGUCUCUUGGGGGACUCAUCGUUUCUUUUGCACCUCCCACAUGAUUUGAAUGAUGAAGAGUAAGAACUCUGUGCAGGAAAAGCACUCCUGUGAUUACUUGAUGUCUGUCAUUUCCCCGUGCAUAACACCCUGUGUUUCCCUCCAUCACUCUGCCAGUCUAAUAAUCAAAUAAAAGCUUUGAAAGGCAUUGCUUCCGCUUG